GAUGAACGCUGGCGGCGUGCCUAAUACAUGCAAGUCGAACGAACAGACGCUGAUCUUGCUCCUCUGACGUUUGCCGCGGACGUGUGAGUAACACGUGUAUACCCUACCUAUAAGACUGGGAUAACCUCGGGAAACCGGAGCUAAUACCGUAUGAUAUACUGCACCGCGUGGUUCAAUAGUGAAAUACGGUUUUGGUGUCUCUUAUAGCUGGUUCCGGGCCGGUUUAGCUAGUUGGUAAGGUAACGGCUUACCACGGCAACGAGGCGUAGCCGACGUGUGAGGGGGGUCGGCCGCACUGGAAGUGGAACACGGUCCAGACGCCUACGAGAGGCAGCAGUAGGCAAUGGUCCGCAAUAGGCGAGAGCCUUACGGAGCAGCGGCGCGUGAGUGAUAGAGGUCUUCGGAUCGUAAAACUGUGUUAUUAGGGAAGAACAAAUGUGUCAGGAACUAUGGCCGUCUUGACGGUACCUAGUCAGAAAGCCACGGCUAACUACGUG
rnacentral:rRNA from 1 species